rnacentral:misc_RNA from 1 species
AAGUCGUAACAAGGUAUCCGUAGGUGAACCUGCGGAUGGAUCAUUAUAGGAUGAUGGGUGAUUGUGAGUGGUUUUAUUAAUAGUUUGAGCGGUGUUGGUUGGGAAGCGAAGCAGGAUUGCCAAGCAGGAUUGCCAAGCAAGACAGCCAACAUUGGCUCGCGUUAAACUCUAUAACUCUAACAAUAAAAUACAACAAAAAACAACUUUUAGCAACGGAUCUCUGGGCUCUC